rnacentral:snRNA from 1 species
GUGCUCACNUCAACAGCACAUAUAUUAAAGUUGGAACAAUACAGAGAAGAUUAGCAAGGCCCCUGCACAAGGAUGACAUGCAAAUUCAUGAAGCACUCCAUAUUUUA